UACGUAGGGGGCUAGCGUUGUCCGGAUUUAUUGGGCGUAAAGAGCGUGUAGGCGGCCAUGUAGGUCCGGUGUGAAAACUCGAGGCUUAACCUCGAGAUGUCAUCGGAAACCAUUUGGCUAGAGUCCGGAAGAGGAGAGUGGAAUUCCUGGUGUAGCGGUGAAAUGCGUAGAUAUCUGGAGGAACACCGGUGGCGAAGGCGGCAUCCUGGACCAACACUGACGCUGAGUGAGCGAAAGCCAGGGGAGCAAACGGG
rnacentral:rRNA from 1 species